rnacentral:rRNA from 1 species
UUACUAAAUACACUAUGUAUUUACUUUCACGAAAGGUGGUGAGUUAAAUAUAAUUAAUAUAGUUAUUACUUGUUACGUAGUAUAGUGACAUGAUAAUUUUAUUUUGCAGUGAUAGGCCUGUCAAGCUACUUGAUAACUUGUUGUGUAAGAAAUAUAUUGAGUAUUAAGGCAUACUAUUAAAGUUAAGCUUUAUAGUUAAUAUAAAUAUUAAAAGUUAUUUGAAGCUAUAGCUUAACCGCUAAGCUAUUGGAGAAAAAAAUACAAAUAAUAUAUACUUAUAUUUACUAUUACACUGUACUAUGUUACGCACAAUAUAAAUAGUGUAAGUAUAAGUAAUAUAAUUAAAUAUAACAAAGGAACUCGGCAAAACAGCUGCUCAACUGUUUAUCAAAAACAUAACUAUAUGUAAUAAUAUAUAGCUUUUCUGCUCAAUGGUAUACUAAAUAGCCGCAGUACUCUGACUGUGCAAAGGUAGCAUAAUCAGUUGGCUUUUAAUUAAAGUCUGGGAUGAAUGAAAGCAUGGGUGGUGACUGUCUUACUGUUGUAUUCUAUUGAAUUUAGUAAGCAAGUGAAAAUACUUGCAGGUUUAAAAAAGACGAGAAGACCCUAGAAACUUGUAUAGUUAUUUUGUUGGGGCGACAGAAUUACAUAAAACUAAUUUUAUUGUACAUGACGCAUGCAGACAGAUUAAGUUACUCUAGGGAUAACAGCAUAAUUUUUACAGUUUGUGACCUCGAUGUUGGACUAGGUAAAUAAUUUUUUAGACGAAAAUUUAAACGCUCUGUUCGAGCAAUAGAACCUACAUGAUCUGAGUU